rnacentral:rRNA from 1 species
UACGUAGGGUGCGAGCGUUGCCCGGAUUUAUUGGGCGUAAAGGGCGCGUAGGCGGCCACGCACGUCCGUUGUGAAAUCGCUCGGCUCAACUGGGCGGGGUCAGCGGAUACGGUGUGGCUAGAGCAAGCUAGGGGGCAAUGGAAUUCCCGGUGUAGUGGUGGAAUGCGCAGAUAAUCGGGAAGAACACCCAUGGCGAAGGCAAGCUCUCUGGGACGGUACUGACGCUGAGACGCGAAAGCGUGGGGAGCGAACAGGA